UGGGGAAUAUUGCACAAUGGAGGGAACUCUGAUGCAGCGACGCUGCGUGAGUGAUGAAGGAAUUCGUUUCGUAAAACUCUGUUCUAUGGGAAUAAAAGGACUGUACCAUAGGAGAAAGCUCCGGCUAAAUACGUGCCAGCAGCCGCGGUAAUACGUAUGGAGCGAGCGUUGUCCGGUAUUAUUGGGCGUAAAGGUUGCGCAGGCGGCUUUACAAGUUGGAUGUGAAAUAUUGUGGCUCAACCACAAACGUGCAUCCAAAACUGCAAAGCUUGAGUUAAGGAGAGGGAAGUGGAAUUCCUGGUGUAGCGGUGGAAUGCGUAGAUAUCAGGAGGAAUACCGGUGGCGAAGGCGACUUACUGGACUUAAACUGACGCUCAGGCACGAAAGAGUGGGGAGCAAACAGG
rnacentral:rRNA from 1 species